GGCCUGGUAGCCAAGCGGAAAGGCAAGGGUCUGCAAAACCCUCAUACGCGGGUUCGAUCCCCGCCCAGGCCUCCA
rnacentral:tRNA from 5 species